UACGUAGGGUGCAAGCGUUAAUCGGAAUUACUGGGAGUAAAGCGUGCGCAGGCGGUUUUGUAAGUCUGACGUGAAAUCCCCGGGCUCAACCUGGGAAUUGCGUUGGAGACUGCAAGGCUAGAAUCUGGCAGAGGGGGGUAGAAUUCCACGUGUAGCAGUGAAAUGCGUAGAGAUGUGGAGGAACACCGAUGGCGAAGGCAGCCCCCUGGGUCAAGAUUGACGCUCAUGCACGAAAGCGUGGGGAGCAAACAGG
rnacentral:rRNA from 1 species